AUACGGAGGAUGCGAGCGUUAUCCGGAUUUAUUGGGUUUAAAGGGUGCGUAGGCGGACGAUUAAGUCAGCUGUGAAAUGCCCGCGCUUAACGCGGGAAGUGCAGUUGAUACUGGUUGUCUGGAGUGCCGUUGCCGUGGGGGGAAUGUGUAGUGUAGCGGUGAAAUGCAUAGAUAUUACACAGAACGCCGAUUGUGAAGACACCUCACGAAGCGGUAACUGACGCUGAGGCACGAAAGCGUGGGUAGCAAAUAGGAUUAGAUACCCUAGUAGUCCACGCUGUAAACGAUGACAACUAAAUAUUGCCGCGAGGCAGUGUUGAAGCUAACGCAUUAAGUUGUCCGCCUGGGGAGUACGGUCGCAAGACUGAAACUUAAAGGAAUUGACGGGG
rnacentral:rRNA from 1 species